AUUGAACGCUGGCGGCAGGCUUAACACAUGCAAGUCGAGCGGGGUGAUGGUGCUUGCACUAUCACUUAGCGGCGGACGGGUGAGUAAUGCUUAGGAAUCUGCCUAUUAGUGGGGGACAACAUCUCGAAAGGUAUGCUAAUACCGCAUACGUCCUACGGGAGAAAGCAGGGGAUCACUUGUGACCUUGCGCUAAUAGAUGAGCCUAAGUCGGAUUAGCUAGUUGGUGGGGUAAAGGCCUACCAAGGCGACGAUCUGUAGCGGGUCUGAGAGGAUGAUCCGGCACAAUGGGACUGAGAGACGGCCCAGACUACUACGGGCGGCAGCAGUGGGGAAUAUUGGACAAUGGGGGGAACCCUGAUCCAGCCAUGCCGCGUGUGUGAAGAAGGCCUUAUGGUUGUAAAGCACUUUAAGCGAGGAGGAGGCUCUUUUGGUUAAUACCCAAGAUGAGUGGACGUUACUCGCAGAAUAAGCACCGGCUAAGUCUGUGCCAGCCGCCGCAGUAA
rnacentral:rRNA from 1 species